GCAGGAUACCUUUUUUUGCCCUUUCAUAUAGCUAUCGUCAGAGACGUAGCCGGGGUUUUCAGUCAGAGGAGGUCGAGAACUGAAUUCCAAGAGGCGCCAUUUUCACUGUGCUUUAUUUAAUAUGGUUAUGUCUUAAUGUUCCCCACACUAAAACGUGCAGGUUUACUUACAAAAAAUGUGUAACUGCACCAAAACCUAAAACAUGCAGGGAUAGCGUAGAGUACUCGAAAAUGGGGGAGGUACAGUAUAUGAAUUACCUGUAACCUUGGGGGGUUCGGGGGUAUGCUC